rnacentral:rRNA from 1 species
CCUACGGGAGGCAGCAGUGAGGAAUAUUGGUCAAUGGACGAGAGUCUGAACCAGCCAAGUAGCGUGAAGGAUGACUGCCCUAUGGGUUGUAAACUUCUUUUAUAUGGGAAUAAAAUGUUCCACGUGUGGGAUUUUGUAUGUACCAUAUGAAUAAGGAUCGGCUAACUCCGUGCCAGCAGCCGCGGUAAUACGGAGGAUCCGAGCGUUAUCCGGAUUUAUUGGGUUUAAAGGGAGCGUAGGUGGAUUGUUAAGUCAGUUGUGAAAGUUUGCGGCUCAACCGUAAAAUUGCAGUUGAUACUGGCAGUCUUGAGUACAGUAGAGGUGGGCGGAAUUCGUGGUGUAGCGGUGAAAUGCUUAGAUAUCACGAAGAACUCCGAUUGCGAAGGCAGUUCACUGGACUGCAACUGACACUGAGGCACGAAAGUGUGGGUAUCAAACAGGAUUAGAUACCCGGGUAGUC